rnacentral:tRNA from 1 species
GUUUUGAUAGUUUAAUAAAAACUUUGGUUUUGUAAACCAAGAAUGAAUUAAUUCUUAAAACU